GACGAACGCUGGCGGCGUGCUUAACACAUGCAAGUCGAACGGUGAAGCGCCUUCCCUUUUGGUGGGUGUGGAUGAGUGGCGAACGGGUGAGUAACACGUGAGUAACCUGCCCCCUUCUUCUGGAUAACCGCAUGAAAGUGUGGCUAAUACGGGAUAUUCUGGGUCUGUCGCAUGAUGGGUCUGGGAAAGAUAUUGUUUCGGUGGGGGAUGGGCUCGCGGCCUAUCAGCUUGUUGGUGGGGUGAUGGCCUACCAAGGCGGUGACGGGUAGCCGGCCUGAGAGGGUGGACGGUCACACGGGGACUGAGACACGGCCCAGACUCCUACGGGAGGCAGCAGUGGGGAAUAUUGCACAAUGGGCGCAAGCCUGAUGCAGCGACGCCGCGUGAGGGAUGGAGGCCUUCGGGUUGUGAACCUCUUUCGCCAGUGAAGCAGGCCUGCCUCGUUUGUGGGUGGGUUGACGGUAGCUGGAUAAGAAGCGCCGGCUAACUACGUG
rnacentral:rRNA from 1 species